rnacentral:rRNA from 1 species
GCAAGUCGAACGCACUGACGGAGAACUUGCUCUCUUGACGUGAGUGGCGCACGGGUGAGUAACACGUGGGAAACCUACCCUUCAGCGGGGGAUAACCAUCGGAAACGAUGACUAAUACCGCAUAGACGACAGAACCGCCUGGUUCAAUCGGGAAAGACGGCUUCGGCUGUCACUGAAGGAUGGUCCCGCGCUGCAUUAGCUAGUUGGUAAGGUAACGGCUUACCAAGGCGAUGAUGCAUAGCCGACCUGAGAGGGUGAUC